rnacentral:rRNA from 1 species
UACUAGAGUAGCACUCGCAUAUCAAUAAGCGGAGGAAAAGAAACUAACAAGGAUUCCCCUAGUAACGGCGAGUGAAGCGGGAAGAGCUCAAAUUUGAAAUCUUAAAGGGUUUCCCUUUACGAAUUGUAGUUUAAAGAAGUGUUUUCUGUUGAGGUUUUGGUAAAAGUUCUUUGGAAUAGGACAUCAUAGAGGGUGAGAAUCCCGUAUUUGACCUUUACUUUCAACUUUGUGAUACACUUUCAAAGAGUCGGAUUGUUUGGGAAUGCAGUCCAAAAUGGGUGGUAAAUUUCAUCUAAAGCUAAAUAUUGGCGAGAGACCGAUAGCGAACAAGUACCGUGAGGGAAAGAUGAAAAGAACUUUGAAAAGAGAGUUAAACAGUACGUGAAAUUGUCAAAAGGGAAGCGUUUGACACCAGUGUUGUUUUUCUGAAAAUCAAUUAAAGAACUGUUUAUGCUAAGCUGUUUAGACUUUAUCAGCUAUCUGUUUAGUUUUGAGCUUUUCUUUAAUGCACUUUUCAGUUAACAAGUCAACAUCAAUUUCUUUUGCUGUAAAAAAGCUUGAGGAAGGUGGCUUGAGAUUCGUCUUAAGUGUUUAUAGCCUCUUGCCUAUGCAGUCGGAGAGAUUGAGGUCUGCAGCGUAGAUCCUUCGGGGCUAAAUGCAUUUGUGCUAAGGUUAUAGCAUUUUAUAGACAACUUGUUGACUAUGAUUUGUCUUGUAGCUUACUCGCUUAUGUUAUUUUACCUACGCUUAGGAUGUUGAACUACUGAGACAUAGA